GCUUCAGUAGCAUAGCGCCUAAUGCACAGCCCCGGAUAGGUUGAGACGCGGGUUCGAAUCCCGCCUGAGAUG
rnacentral:tRNA from 1 species